rnacentral:rRNA from 1 species
CCUACGGGAGACAGCAGUGAGGAAUAUUGGUCAAUGGACGAGAGUCUGAACCAGCCAAGUAGCGUGAAGGAUGACUGCCCUAUGGGUUGUAAACUUCUUUUAUAUGGGAAUAAAAUGUUCCACGUGUGGGAUUUUGUAUGUACCAUAUGAAUAAGGAUCGGCUAACUCCGUGCCAGCAGCCGCGGUAAUACGGAGGAUCCGAGCGUUAUCCGGAUUUAUUGGGUUUAAAGGGAGCGUAGGUGGAUUGUUAAGUCAGUUGUGAAAGUUUGCGGCUCAACCGUAAAAUUGCAGUUGAAACUGGCAGUCUUGAGUACAGUAGAGGUGGGCGGAAUUCGUGGUGUAGCGGUGAAAUGCUUAGAUAUCACGAAGAACUCCGAUUGCGAAGGCAGUUCACUGGACUGCAACUGACACUGAGGCUCGAAAGUGUGGGUAUCAAACAGGAUUAGAUACCCGGGUAGUG